rnacentral:rRNA from 1 species
AGUGAACGCUGGCGGUAGGCCUAACACAUGCAAGUCGGACGGCAGCACAGUAAGAGCUUGCUCUUACGGGUGGCGAGUGGCGGACGGGUGAGGAAUACAUAGGAAUCUACUUUUUCUUGGGGGAUAACGUAGGGAAACUUACGCUACUACCGCAUACGUCCUACGGGUGAAAGCAGGGGAUCUUCGCACCUUGCGCGACUGAAUUAGCCGAUGUCGGAUUAGCUAGUUGGCGGGGUAAAGGCCCACCAAGGCGACGAUCCGUAGCUGGUCUGAGAGGAUGAUCAGCCACACUGGAACUGAGACACGGUCCAGACUCCUACGGGAGGCAGCAGUGGGGAAUAUUGGACAAUGGGCGCAAGCCUGAUCCAGCCAUACCGCGUGGGUGAAGAAGGCCUUCAGGUUGUAAAGCCCUUUUGUUGGGAAAGAAAAGCAGCAGGUUAAUCCCCCGCUGUUCUGACGGUACCCAAAGAAUAAGCACCGGCUAACUUCGUG